GAUGAAGAACGCAGUGAAAUGCGAUAAGUAAUGUGAAUUGCAGAAUUCAGUGAAUCAUCGAAUCUUUGAACGCACAUUGCGCCCGCCAGUAUUCUGGCGGGCAUGCCUGUCUGAGCGUCAUUUCAACCCUCAUGCCCCUAGGGCGUGGUGUUGGGGAUCGGCCAAAGCCCGCAAGGGACGGCCGGCCCCUAAAUCUAGUGGCGGACCCGUCGUGGCCUCCCCUGCGAAGUAGUGAUAUUCCGCAUAGGAGAAGCGACGAGCCCCUGCCGUUAAACCCCCAACUUUCUCAGGUUGACCUCAGAUCAGGUAGGAAUACCCGCUGAACUUAAGCAUAUCAAAAGCGGAGGA
rnacentral:misc_RNA from 1 species